rnacentral:rRNA from 1 species
AGAGUUUGAUCCUGGCUCAGGAUGAACGCUGGCGGCGUGCCUAAUACAUGCAAGUCGAGCGGUAAGGCCCCUUCGGGGGUACACGAGCGGCGGACGGCUGAGUAACACGUAGGAACGUACCCCAAAGUGAGGAAUAAGCACCAGAAAUGGUGUCUAAUACCGCAUGUGGCCCUCGGGCUAAAGCUCCGGCGCUUUGGGAACGGCCUGCGUAUGAUUAGUUUGUUGGUGAGGUAAUGGCUCACCARGACUACGAUCAUUAGCUGGUCUGAGAGGAUGAUCAGCCAGACUGGGACUGASAACGGCCCAGACUCCUACGGGAGGCAGCAGUAGGGAAUUUUCCACAAUGGGCGAAAGCCUGAUGGAGCAACGCCGCGUGCAGGAUGAAUGCCUUCGGGUUGUAAACUGCUUUUAUAUGUGACGAUAAUGACGGUAGCAUAUGAAUAAGGAUCGGCUAACUCCGUGCCAGCAGCCGCGGUCAUACGGAGGAUCCAAGCGUUAUCCGGAAUUACUGGGCGUAAAGAGUUGCGUAGGUGGCAUAGUAAGUCAGUUGUGAAAGCGUGUGGCUCAACCAUACUCACAUUGCUGAAACUACUAAGCUAGAGGAUGAGAGAGGUUAUUGGAAUUCCCAGUGUAGGAGUGAAAUCCGUAGAUAUUGGGAGGAACACCGAUGGCGUACGCAGAUAACUGGCUCAUUCCUGACACUAAUGCACGAAAGCGUGGGUAGCAAACGGGAUUAGAUACCCCGGUAGUCC